UUCUUGAAAUCAUAACAGAUUUGACAAAAGCUUGAGCUGACAGUAGAGUAGUUUGAGAUAGGACACAGAUGCAAAUUUAAUACACAAACUAUAUCUAUAAAACUUAACCUCGUUUUUAAAGGGUGAAAUUUAUUAUUACUGAGUUAGAACUCUAUUCUUAUUUAAAUUAAAAGUACUCUAAUUAGAUCACCACAGGUAAAACCACACAUGUCACUUAACUACAUGGUAAAAAGUAAAAAUAUUGUUUCUAUAUCUAGAAAGGCUUUAAGGUAUUUAGUCUAUAAACACAUUUAAUAUAAAUACGAAUGCACAAAACUGCAAAUUUAUGACAGAAAUAGUCCGUAUAUGGCCUUAUUGGCAUUUAAUACACUGUAAAACCUAAAUGUGGAAUUCACUAAAUGAAAUAAGUUCAUUUUACUUAAAACUUUAAAAAAGUUAAUUCAACUUAACAGAUUUUGUGAUGUGAACUCAAAAACGUAUUAUAUUAAGUAGAACUCAAACUAAAUGAGUCACUAUGUUAUUUUAACUUUAAUGGUUUAAGUUACAGAAAUUAAUUUAAUCUAGUAUCUUACGCUAUAAAUAAAUAACUAAAAGCUAUCAAAUAAACACACAAACAAUAAUAAAUACAUUGAUCUGUUUCAUAUUAAGCCUACACACCUACAUUAAGCCUUUUUAAAUUAAUUACAUUUAUUCAUGUCAAAGUAUUAUCCAAGUGCGUUUCUAGGCAACAAAAAUCGCGCCGGCGCCAUUUUCCCUCCUUCAGUCGCAGCAGGAGGACGGGCUCACGCAACGGUCAAGAAAAAUAACAGUCGGACUCAGAUAACGCGACUUUUAUAUUUUGAGACGGUUGGCAGACCUUCUUCCACAUCUCUCGCGCGCGCGGCGCCACAGAAACUACAGCAACAGAGCAAAGACGUUGAAAGGUGGUGUGAUAUCAACAUGGCUACAAUAAUAUGAGGCUGCAUUUUUUGGCUUUGAUGUCAUUCGAACUACGAUCUGGCGGGUCUUACUAUCUGUAAAGAAGAGUCUGCCGAUGUUUUUAAGACACAAGAAAAAGGAGCUUGACCAGGUGCAGAAGGCAACACUCACCAUCAUUGCUGUUGAGGAGGAAGAGGGAACUUUUUACCUUUUAACCCACUGGAUAUUUUGAUUGUCUUUGAAGAUGAGGUGAUGUCUGCCAAGUCAGUGCACUGCCUUUGGAGUACACUUAGUUCGUACAGAAAGUACUGUUGAAUUUCCUUUCUUACAUAAAAAUUAUCUACUCUGUUUCUGGUGGUGUUAGAACAUAGUUAUUUUAUAUUAUUAUUUUAAUUUUACAAACUUUUACAAUUUUAAAAUUAAAAUUUUUAAACAAACAUAUUUCCUUGUUUGUGCGGUCUUAUACUUGGAGGG